GCUAGGAUGUUCGAGGGUGCGCUUGAGCCUAGGGACGUGUCUAGUCCUGGAACUUCUGUUUUGCAGAUUGUAGAAUCAUACCCCUUUUUGUACUGAGUUAAAAUAACGUCUAAUCUCUCUGGAAUUUAACCACAACUGUCAUUCUGGAGAGGCUUUAAACAGAUGCCCAUGGUAGCGUCGAAAAAAGUUAAGUCAGUCUUUAGGUUCCGUGUUCCCAAAUCUGCAAUAUACUCAUGUUUCACCAGCAAUUUGAUGCCUUAUGCUGCGAUUCCCACCAGCCUUUGAGAGAAGAGGAAUUUUGAGUCUGUCCCCUUGGAAGCUGCUCAGAAAUGCAAAUUUUCCUGGACUUCCUUGGAAUCAGGAAGAAGCGGACAGGAAAACUGAAAACUACAGAGAAGGUGGAGGAAUGGAACACAACAUAGAGAAAAGAAUGAAGCAGUUGGGCCACUAACCCCAGGUUCUAAGGAGGGGAUCUGUCUCCACUGACACAAGGCAACGACUCGAUAAGUCGCUAAAUUGCCCAGUCUGGGCUUGAAUUUGGGAUCCUCCCGUCUCAGUUUCCCAGGGAUUAGCACGCUUAGAAAUACGCAGCAACGAGUAAGGAAGCACGCAGGUGUGUACCCUGUCUGUCCCUUGUGGAGGUGCAGGCGACACCUGGCUGUGGAGGCACCACACGUCCCCCACCGCGUCCU